GUUGAGAAACACUGCUCUAAAGGCAUCAAAUCCUAUCUGGUCUUGGAAGCUAAGCAGGGACAGCCCUGGUUAGUAUUUGGAUGGGGGGCCACCAACAAAACCAGGUGCUAUAGGCU
rnacentral:rRNA from 1 species